rnacentral:snRNA from 1 species
GGAUGUGGGGGUGAUCUGGCUGCAACAUCUGUCACCUCAUUGAUCCUCAGGGUUGAUAUGGCUGAUCUGGCUGGCUAGCUGGGUGUCCCCUUCCUCCCUCACCACUCCAUGUGCAUCCCUCCUGAAACUCCACACUCAGUCGAAGAGGACAACUUUCACUCGGUCUUUGGUCAAGGAUAUAUGAGUAGCUGCACUCCCCUGCUAGAACCUCCAAAAAAGCUCUCAUAAAACUAGAAAGAAACUCUCAAAUGAUAAAUAUCCUUAUAGAAUAAAGUUAGAGAGUCAAAAUCCUGAAGAGCAAAAAUUUUAAAGUU